rnacentral:rRNA from 1 species
CCUACGGGAGGCAGCAGUGAGGAAUAUUGGUCAAUGGACGAGAGUCUGAACCAGCCAAGUAGCGUGAAGGAUGACUGCCCUAUGGGUUGUAAACUUCUUUUAUAAAGGAAUAAAACGAGGCACGUGUGCCUUUUUGCAUGUACUUUAUGAAUUAGGAUCGGCUAACUCCGUGCCAGCAGCCGCGGUAAUCCGGAGGAUCCGAGCGUUAUCCGGAUUUAUUGGGUUUAAAGGGAGCGUAGAUGGGUUGUUAAGUCAGUUGUGAAAGUUUGCGGCGCAACCGUAAAAUGGCAAUUGAUACUGGCAGUCGUGAGUACAGUUGAGGUAGGCGGAAUUCGUGGUGUAGCGGUGAAAUGCUUAGAUAUCACGAAGAACCCCGAUUGCGAAGGCAGGUUACUAAACUGUGACUGACAUUGAUGCUCGAAAGUGUGGGUAUCAAACAGGAUUAGAUACCCUAGUAGUC